GGACUACGAGUUUUCGGUGGAGUUCAGUUAUGAAUAUAUACCUAUUUUUUGUCAUCGAUGCAAGAUUACAGGCCAUUCGUUGGAGAAAUGUCGCAAGGGUGACAAACCACAGGGAACAUAUGAGGUGGAAAAGAAGGACAACGGACCGGAAUGGCACGCUAUCGGGAAGGCGGUGGUACAAGCUUCGGUGUUGCAUAACACUGAGGUUUUGGAAGCGGUAGAUAAUAAUGAUUACUCGGAUCAUUUGCAAGUUACAUCUGUUAAAGCUGCUGAGGUGAAGACUGCUCUGACGGAGCAUGCCCAAGUGGAGCAGACCACGGGAAACAGAAGACUGGGAAUUCCUUUGCCCCUUUGGUGACGGCGGAGCAAUCAAGCGAGAUGGCUGACCAUACAGUUUACGGGCCGGAUACGGAUGUUUUGAAGCAGAUUAUUCAGCCAUAUAAUAGUAACGAGGAGGUGGACGAGGAUCUUGAGAUGGAGACACCGUCUGGGAAAAAUGUAAAAGACUCUCCUACUCCAGAUUGUCAUAUUAAUCGGUUAGAGGAGCAGGUUAGCCAGGGAAUACAAUUACUUGUUGAUCAAGCACCGCCUAAAAGACGGGGACGUCCCCCAAAGGGUACUGGAGCGCCCACGUGUCCAACAACCUUUGGAAGAUAGCAUAAAGAAUCGACUCCGUCAUGCGGAGGAAAUGGGUUAUAAUCCGAGGGAGUCUGUUAUCGAUAAUAGCAGAAGUGCUAGUUCUGUGUUAUGAAUAAUAUCUCAAAAGGACGUUGGUCGGAUGAAAUGGAGAUGGACGACUUCUGCAACAACAUGGAUCAUUCUUGAGAUUGAGUUUCUGUAGGCUGAAGUUUUAGGCUUCCUGUGUUUCCUCUUUUUGUUUU
rnacentral:lncRNA from 1 species